rnacentral:rRNA from 1 species
GACGAACGUUGGCGGCGUGCUUAACACAUGCAAGUCGAACGGAAAGGCCCUGCUUUUGUGGGGUGCUCGAGUGGCGAACGGGUGAGUAACACGUGAGUAACCUGCCCUUGACUUUGGGAUAACUUCAGGAAACUGGGGCUAAUACCGGAUAGGAGCUCCUGCUGCAUGGUGGGGGUUGGAAAGUUUCGGCGGUUGGGGAUGGACUCGCGGCUUAUCAGCUUGUUGGUGGGGUAGUGGCUUACCAAGGCUUUGACGGGUAGCCGGCCUGAGAGGGUGACCGGCCACAUUGGGACUGAGAUACGGCCCAGACUCCUACGGGAGGCAGCAGUGGGGAAUAUUGCACAAUGGGCGGAAGCCUGAUGCAGCAACGCCGCGUGCGGGAUGACGGCCUUCGGGUUGUAAACCGCUUUCGCCUGUGACGAAGCGUGAGUGACGGUAAUGGGUAAAGAAGCACCGGCUAACUACGUGCCAGCGGCCGCGGUGAUACGUAGGGUGCGAGCGUUGUCCGGAUUUAUUGGGCGUAAAGGGCUCGUAGGUGGUUGAUCGCGUCGGAAGUGUAAUCUUGGGGCUUAACCCUGAGCGUGCUUUCGAUACGGGUUGACUUGAGGAAGGUAGGGGAGAAUGGAAUUCCUGGUGGAGCGGUGGAAUGCGCAGAUAUCAGGAGGAACACCAGUGGCGAAGGCGGUUCUCUGGGCCUUUCCUGACGCUGAGGAGCGAAAGCGUGGGGAGCGAACAGGCUUAGAUACCCUGGUAGUCCACGCUGUAAACGGUGGGUACUAGGUGUGGGGUCCAUUCCACGGGUUCCGUGCCGUAGCUAACGCUUUAAGUACCCCGCCUGGGGAGUACGGCCGCAAGGCUAAAACUCAAAGGAAUUGACGGGGCCCCGCACAAGCGGCGGAGCAUGCGGAUUAAUUCGAUGCAACGCGUAGAACCUUACCUGGGUUUGACAUGGAUCGGGAGUGCUCAGAGAUGGGUGUGCCUCUUUUGGGGUCGGUUCACAGGUGGUGCAUGCCUGUCGUCAGCUCGUGUCGUGAGAUGUUGGGUUAAGUCCCGCAACGAGCGCAACCCUUGUUCACUGUUGCCAGCACGUUAUGGUGGGGACUCAGUGGAGACCGCCGGGGUCAACUCGGAGGAAGGUGGGGAUGACGUCAAGUCCUCAUGCCCCUUAUGUCCAGGGCUUCACGCAUGCUACAAUGGCUGGUACAGAGAGUGGCGAGCCUGUGAGGGUGAGCGAAUCUCGGAAAGCCGGUCUCAGUUCGGAUUGGGGUCUGCAACUCGACCUCAUGAAGUCGGAGUCGCUAGUAAUCGCAAAUCAGCAACGCUGCGGUGAAUACGUUCCCGGG